rnacentral:rRNA from 1 species
AGCCAUCGGGGGUAGAUCUAUCUCAUGACGAGUGGUGGAAUACUUUGACUCAUGAGAGAGAAGCUGAGGCGAAGGCGUCUACCUAGAGGGUUUCUGUCGAUCAAGGGCGAGAGUAGGAGUAUCCAACAGGAUUAGAGACCCUGGUAGUUCCUACCUUAAACGAUGCCGACAGGAGUUUGUCAUUUGUUAAUGGCAGAAUCUUUGGAGAAAUCAUAGUUCUUGGGCUCUGGGGGAACUACGACCGCAAGGCUGAAACUUGAAGGAAUUGACGGAAGGGCACACCAGGGGUGGAGCCUGUGGCUUAAUUUGAAUCAACACGGGGAAACUUACCAGGACCAGAUGUUUUUUAUGACUGACAGGCUUCGGGUCUUUCAGGAUAUUGUUUUUGGUGGUGCAUGGCCGUUGGUGGUGCGUGGGUUGACCUGUCUAGCGUUGAUUCAGCUAACGAGCGAGAUUAUCGCCAAUUAUUUACUUUGCCGAAGUCCUUCGGUUAAAGUUCUAAUUGGGACUCCCUGCGAUUUUAGCAGGUGGAAGAGGGUAGCAAUAACAGGUCCGUGAUGCCCUUUAGAUGCUCUGGGCUGCACGCGUGCUACAAUGUUAGGAUCAAUAGGACUGCGAGCCUGAGAGGGUGCGCUACUCUUAUAAUCCCUAACGUAGUUGGGAUUGACGUUUGUAAUCAGCGUCAUGAACCAGGAAUCCCUUGUAAAUGUGUGUCAACAACGCACGUUGAAUACGUCCCUGCCCUUUGUACACACCGCCCGUCGCUCCUACCGAUUGGAUGACUCGGUGAAAUCACCGGAUGCUUACGAGCAGAAAGUGAUUAAAUCACGUUAUCUAGAGGAAGGAGAAGUCGUAACAAGGUAACGGUAGGUGAACCUGCCGUUGGAUC